GACCCUUAAAAAAUUAUUGUCAAAAUCUGAAUUUGCUUGAAGAAUAACACACUAUUGAGAGAUUCUCUUUGCUUUUGAUACAAUUUCGCAAUUUCUCUCUCUCUCUUUCUCUCUCUCUCAGACCCUCAAAUGUAUAUAUAUAGAUUGGUCUUCGCAUGUUUGGCAAUCGCAAGCAAAGACGCACGAGCACUGGAAUCGAAUCUGUUUCAUCAUUGAUUGCCCUUGAAUUGUGAUUAGAUGGUUUCCUGCUUUCCCUCAACGCCUAAGAAGUUGGCACAGACUGUAGUGUUCUUCCUUGCUGGUGCCUCUCUGUUUGCUGUCGGGGUGCAUCUUUCGUAUGUUAAUAUUGCACCUCAACAAGCUCGGACCAAAGCUCGUAAUGAUUUUGUUAAAGAGAGAUUGAGACAGAAAUAUGGAGAGAAAUAUGGCAAGUAAUCAAAAUGUGCAUGCUUGCUUGCUUGCUGCUCUAGGUACGCUUGAAAUUAAUGACCGCCUUGCCAAUUAAUUGGAUGUUCUUAUAGUUUGCAUGGUUCUAUUCCAUACAGUUAUUGAACUUCAUGAAGAAUUGACUGCCAUUAAAAGAAAACCACUGUGAUUUUAGAUUGGAAUCUUUUUGUAAUUAUUGUCGUUAAGAAUUAUGCAUGUCUCCUCUCUAUGGGUUGAACAUU